UCCUCCUUACCUACUUGGCCACUUCAACCCC
rnacentral:piRNA from 1 species